AGUGAACGCUGGCGGUAGGCCUAACACAUGCAAGUCGAACGGCAGCACAGGAGAGCUUGCUCUCUGGGUGGCGAGUGGCGGACGGGUGAGGAAUACAUCGGAAUCUACUCUGUCGUGGGGGAUAACGUAGGGAAACUUACGCUAAUACCGCAUACGACCUACGGGUGAAAGCAGGGGACCUUCGGGCCUUGCGCGAUUGAAUGAGCCGAUGUCGGAUUAGCGAGUUGGCGGGGUAAAGGCCCUCCAAGGCGACGAGCCGUAGCUGGUCUGAGAGGAUGAUCAGCCACACUGGAACUGAGACACGGUCCAGACUCCUACGGGAGGCAGCAGUGGGGAAUAUUGGACAAUGGGCGCAAGCCUGAUCCAGCCAUACCGCGUGGGUGAAGAAGGCCUUCGGGUUGUAAAGCCCUUUUGUUGGGAAAGAAAUCCAGCUGGCUAAUACCCGGUUGGGAUGACGGUACCCAAAGAAUAAGCACCGGCUAACUUCGUGCCAGCCGCCGCCGUAA
rnacentral:rRNA from 1 species